rnacentral:rRNA from 1 species
GAUGAACGCUGGCGGCGUGCCUAAUACAUGCAAGUCGAGCGAACAGACGAGGAGCUUGCUCCUUUGACGUUAGCGGCGGACGGGUGAGUAACACGUAGGUAACCUACCUAUAAGACUGGGAUAACUUCGGGAAACCGGAGCUAAUACCGGAUAAUAUUUCGAACCGCAUGGUUCGAUAGUGAAAGAUGGCUUUGCUAUCACUUAUAGAUGGACCUGCGCCGUAUUAGCUAGUUGGUAAGGUAACGGCUUACCAAGGCAACGAUACGUAGCCGACCUGAGAGGGUGAUCGGCCACACUGGAACUGAGACACGGUCCAGACUCCUACGGGAGGCAGCAGUAGGGAAUCUUCCGCAAUGGGCGAAAGCCUGACGGAGCAACGCCGCGUGAGUGAUGAAGGUCUUCGGAUCGUAAAACUCUGUUAUUGGGGAAGAACAAACGUGUAAGUAACUGUGCACGUCUUGACGGUACCUAAUCAGAAAGCCACGGCUAACUACGUG